rnacentral:rRNA from 1 species
UUUGAGAGUUUGAUCCUGGCUCAGGAUGAACGCUGGCGGCAUGCCUAAGACAUGCAAGUCGAACGAGGGAUCUUCGAUGAGGCAAGAGUGCUUGCACAAUUGCUGACUUGAAAUUUUCCCUAGUGGCGCACGGGUGAGUAACACGUGGGUAAUCUGCCUUUAAGAUGGGGACAACAGUUGGAAACGACUGCUAAUACCGAAUAAUAUAUAGAAAUAAUUUUUCUAUAUUGAAAGGAGCCCUUAAAGCUCCGCUUGAAGAUGAGCCUGCGGCGUAUUAGCUAGUUGGUGGGGUAAUGGCUCACCAAGGCAACGAUGCGUAGCCGGUCUGAGAGGACGAACGGCCACAUUGGGACUGAGACACGGCCCAAACUCCUACGGGAGACAGCAGUUAGGAAUAUUCGGCAAUGGGGGAAACCCUGACCGAGCA